AUGGUGAUGUCCCUUGCUGUCUCGGCAAUAAAGUAUCACCAGACUGCAGGAUUUAGGCCGCCCAGUGAGAGUGCAAAUGAGUACACAGAUGAUGAGGAUGCAAGCUGGAAAGUCCGUAGGGCAUCAUCAAAGUGCCUAUCUGCAAUUAUAGUGUCUCGUCCUGAAAUGUUGGUGAAGAUGUUUCUAGAGGCUUGUCCAAAGUUAAUUGAACGAUUUCGGGAAAGAGAAGAGAAUGUAAAGAUGGAUAUAUUUAACACCUUCAUUGAGCUGUUACGCCAAACUGGUAAUGUUACGAAAGGACAAGGCGACAUCGAUGAGUCCAGCCCUCGCUGGUUGCUGAAGCAAGAGGUCCAAAAGUUGUCAAGUCUAUCAACAGGCAGUUACGUGAAAAAUCAAUCAAGACAAAGGUUGGGACAUUUUCAGUACUGAAGGAGCUUGUGGUUGUAUUACCAGACUGUCUUGCUGAUCAUUUUGGAUCACUUGUUCCUGGGAUUGAGAAGGCUUUGAAUGACAAGUCUUCUACCUCCAACCUGAAGAUUGAAGCACUUGUAUUAACAAGGCUUGUUAUGGCUUCACAUUCGCCAUCUGUGUUUCAUCCAUACAUCAAGG